AGGAUGAACGCUGGCGGCGUGCCUAAUACAUGCAAGUCGAGCGGUAAGGCCCCUUCGGGGGUACACGAGCGGCGGACGGCUGAGUAACACGUAGGAACGUACCCCAAAGUGAGGCAUAAGCACCAGAAAUGGUGUCUAAUACCGCAUGUGGCCCUAGGGCUAAAGCUCCGGCGCUUUGGGAACGGCCUGCGCAUGAUUAGCUUGUUGGUGAGGUAAUAGCUCACCAAGGCGAUGAUCAUUAGCUGGUCUGAGAGGAUGACCAGCCAGACUGGGACUGAGAACGGCCCAGACUCCUACGGGAGGCAGCAGUA
rnacentral:rRNA from 1 species